rnacentral:guide_RNA from 1 species
AUACAUGAUAUAUGCAGUGAACUAUUAGAGUUAUAGGUAAU